UUGGGCGUAAAGGGCUUGUAGGCGGUUGGUCGCGUCUGCCGUGAAAGGCCGGGGCUUAACCCCGUGUAUUGCAGUGGGUACGGGCAGACUAGAGUGCAGUAGGGGAGACUGGAAUUCCUGGUGUAGCGGUGGAAUGCGCAGAUAUCAGGAGGAACACCGAUGGCGAAGGCAGGUCUCUGGGCUGUAACUGACGCUGAGAAGCGAAAGCAUGGGGAGCGAACAGGAUUAGAUACCCUGGUAGUCCAUGCCGUAAACGUUGGGCACUAGGUGUGGGGGACAUUCCACGUUUUCCGCGCCGUAGCUAACGCAUUAAGUGCCCCGCCUGGGGAGUACGGCCGCAAGGCUAAAACUCAAAGAAAUUGACGGGGGCCCGCACAAGCGGCGGAGCAUGCGGAUUAAUUCGAUGCAACGCGAAGAACCUUACCAAGGCUUGACAUAUACUGGACCGCAUCAGAGAUGGUGUUUCCCUUCGGGGCUGGUAUACAGGUGGUGCAUGGUUGUCGUCAGCUCGUGUCGUGAG
rnacentral:rRNA from 1 species